CAUAGCAUGACGUGUUUUUGACGUUCAUAACAAAGGCCGUGUUCAUGAUCUCUCCACGUUCAGUGAACACAUUAGUUUAGUACAAAUGCAAUUAGCGUGUGAUAUACCGCAGAACUAUACAACGUUGAGGAAGCUAGUAUAUAUAAUAGUAAGAAGGAUAUUUUGUGGACAGUAUGUUAUGAUCUCAUUUUAAGGCAAGAUUGCUUCUCUUCUUGGGUUUUGGCUUCCUUUAAAUUGACUUCAGCACCCCCUCGUUUCAAGGCCCCUGAGGUAAGCCAUAUACCGUAAAAUAUUCCAUUCUAACUCAGUUGUUAUAUCAAAGGCAAACAGGGUUGUGGGAAGUGUGUGUAUAUUAUUAUUAUUAUUAUUAUUUUCAUGGUGAAUAAAGAAGGGGUUGUGGUAGGUUCAACUUAUUCAAUAAUGAACUCAGAUAUGGAUACAAGUUACACUUCCGGUCUUCAAGUCGAUAAAUUUCUCAGAACCACUGUUUCAUCAUCUUGGACCAGAACGAAAAUGGAAAAAAUAUGUUUGCAAAAUGUUCAUAGUUUAAGAAAAAAAGAAAAAUGUUUUUCUUCAUCUACUUAUAAUAGAAUAAUGCAUUCCUUGUAUAAAGACUAAUAAUACAAGCUUAUAAUUAAUUUUGAGAUAUCAUAAUAGUGCUAAAACCUGAGUAAUUAUGUUGCAUGAAUUAUUAUGAUUAUAGAGCGGUGAAAAGCAUUGUUAGUGGCUGACUUGUUAGUGACUUAAUUGGACUAACAACACUAAGGUAAGCGAUGAAUUCCAAUUACCGGAGUUAGAAAUGAAUAUUCAUUAUGAAUGACGUAUUCUGUUGAAUCCCGGGGGUGUUGAAUUUCGGGAAUUGAAGAGUCAUAGCAGUGUCAUAGCGCGCGUAAUUUGAUAGCGUUGUAGAGACGUACAAACUAUUAUGUGGUGCCAAAGAGAACUCGUUUGGGGAAGGGUGUAGAGAACUUAUGUUGGUUACCAGACUUAUUUUAAUUUGUCUUCUCGAUCUCGGUAGGUAGGUAAAAUAUUUUAAUCUGGGUAUACCCUUGAGCUGAGGGUCAAGUUUGAGAGAUAGGCCUAAAUAGCAGCUAGACUUAGCUGGCUAGCCAGACCUACUUAGUAGGCUACUGAGCCAGAACUAAUUGGUAUCAGAGCCUGAGCUGAGGUAGCUACCUAGACGGUAUUUUAGUGAGCUACCUCAGCUCAGGCUCGGCUAAGGCUAAGACUAGUUCUGGCUCAGUAGCCUACUAAGUAGGUCUAGCUAGCCAGCUAAGUCUAGCUGCUAUUUAGGCCUAUCUCUCAAACUUGACCCUCAGCUCAAGGGUAUACCCAGAUUAAAAUAUUUUACCUACCUACCGAGAUCGAGAAGACAAAUUAAAAUAAGUCUGGUAACCAACAUAAGUUCUCUACACCGUUCUCCAAACGAGUUCUCUUUGGCACCACAUAAUAGUUUGUACGUCUCUACAACGCUAUCAAAUUACGCGCGCUAUGACACUGCUAUGACUCUUCAAUUCCCGAAAUUCAACACCCCCGGGAUUCAACAGAAUACGUCAUUCAUAAUGAAUAUUCAUUUCUAACUCCGGUAAUUGGAAUUCAUCG
rnacentral:misc_RNA from 1 species